UGAUCAAGCAAUGCCGCGUGAGUGAUGAAGGCUCGGGUUGUAAGCUCUUUUGGCGGGGACAAAAGGUCCGGGCUAAUACCACGGAUUUUGACGGUAUCUACCAAAAAGCCCCGGCUAACUACGUGCCAGCAGCCGCGGUAAUACGUAGGGUGCAAGCGUUAAUCGGAAUUACUGGGCGUAAAGCGUGCGCAGGCGGUUUUUUAAGUCUGAUGUGAAAUCCCCGGGCUCAACCUGGGAACUGCGUUUGAAACUGGGGGACUUGAGUGUGGAAAAGGGAAGUGGAAUUCCACGUGUAGCAGUGAAAUGCGUAAAUAUGUGGAGGAACACCGAUGGCGAAGGCAGCCCCCUGGGCCGUCACUGACGCUCAUGCUUAAAAGCCUGGGGAGCAAACAGGAUUAAAUACCCUGGUAGUCCACGCCCUAAACUAUGACUACUAGUUGUUGGGGGAGUUACUCCCUUUUCACCUGGCUUAAUACGUGUUAUUCAACCCCUCUGGAUGAAAGUU
rnacentral:rRNA from 1 species